rnacentral:rRNA from 1 species
CCUACGGGAGGCAGCAGUAAGGAAUAUUGGACAAUGGCCGCAAGGCUGAUCCAGCCAUGCCGCGUGCAGGAUGAAGGUGCUCUGCAUUGUAAACUGCUUUUGUUCGGGAAUAAACCCUUUCACGUGUGAGAGGUUGAAUGUACCGAAAGAAUAAGGGACGGCUAACUUCGUGCCAGCAGCCGCGGUAAUACGAAGGUCCCAAGCGUUAUCCGGAUUUAUUGGGUUUAAAGGGUGCGUAGGCGGGUUAUUAAGUCAGUGGUGAAAGCUCCCAGCUCAACUGGGAAACUGCCAUUGAUACUGAUAGUCUUGAGUAUGAUUGAAGUGGGCGGAAUGUGUCAUGUAGCGGUGAAAUGCUUAGAUAUGACACAGAACACCGAUUGCGAAGGCAGCUCACUAAGCCAUAACUGACGCUGAUGCACNAAAGCGUGGGGAGCAANCAGGAUUAGAUNCCCUGGNAGUNCACGCCCUAACCGAUGAUCACUCGNAUGUGUGCGAUAANCUGUACGCGUCCAAGCGAAAGCAUUAAGUNAUCCNCCUGGGGAGUNCGCCCGCAA